GGAGGUGUGUUUGCCUUAGGGGAGUGUUGAGGGUAUUAUUAAAGACGGAUGAUGUGUCUAGGAGAUGUGUGUUUAGGGGAAGAGGUUUGAGUAGACAAUUUUGGGGGUGAGGUAGCUCUUAUGAUUUGUUCAUCAUCUAAACUUAUAUGUACAACAACAAGAACAGGAGUGAGGCUAGACAAUGUUACCUUAGACACCUGUCUUGAGGAGCGUUUAAUAACAUGUUUUUGCCUCUUAGGAGUAAGCUCAGUAACUUUAACUUUAGAAGGUUGAAGUAUACGCUUCUGAAGAUGGCAAAAAAAUAAGUCCAUCAUCAGAAUUUGUUGGCUCUUCAGAACUUAUAAAAAUAGAAAAAGAACGCUUCUUCAACUACUUUG
rnacentral:lncRNA from 1 species